rnacentral:rRNA from 1 species
UAUCCGGACGCCUGCGAUGUUUCAAUCGAAGACGACUACAUGUGAGGACUUUUUUUAUUCUUUUAAAGACUAAUCGUAACUAACAUUUUCUUUUAUUUCAGCGAGCUUCGGUACAACAACGGCAGCAAGGGAUGCACUGUGGAUCUUCUCAGCAAAAACGCGUCGAACAACAGCACGAUCAAGUUCACGACCGGAGUGCGAAACAUAAAAGGAGGACUCAGCAAAUGCCUUGAUGUUGGUCAUAAACUCGACGGAAGCUAUAACAACACGUGAGUUUUUACUUCCUUAUUCUAUUUGGCAGCUAAUUUAUGUUCCUUAACAGGAUUCUUAACAGGCAUUGCAAGUUUACUUUGAACAAAUCAGAGUGCUUCAAACAGGCGUUUUCGCUUGAAUGAUCGUGCAUGGAAUAAUAGAAAACGAUUUUGGUUCAGUUUUAUUGGUUUUACGGACUGAGAUUUGUAUGGCCCCGUGAGAGGUGAAAUUCUUGGACCGUGGCCAGACAAACUACAGCGAAAGCAUUUGCCAAGAAUGUCUUCAUUAAUCAAGAACGAAAGUCAGAGGUUCGAAGGCGAUCAGAUACCGCCCUAGUUCUGACCGUAAACGAUGCCAACUAGCGAUCCGCCGAUGGAAAUUAUAUUGCCUUGGUGGGGAGCUUCCCGGAAACGAAAGUCUUCCGGUUCCGGGGGAAGUAUGGUUGCAAAGCUGAAACUUAAAGGAAUUGACGGAAGGGCACCACCAGGAGUGGAGCCUGCGGCUUAAUUUGACUCAACACGGGGAAACUCACCCGGCCCGGAUACUGUGAGGAUUGACAGAUUGAUAGCUUUUUCAUGAUUCAGUGGAUGGUGGUGCAUGGCCGUUCUUAGUUCGUGGAGUGAUUUGUCUGGUUUAUUCCGAUAACGAGCGAGACUCUAACCUACUAAAUAGCUGGUACAUACUCUUAGUGUAUACAGCUUCUUAGAGGGAUUUGCGGUGUUCAGCCGAAAGAAAUUGAGCAAUAACAGGUCUGUGAUGCCCUUAGAUGUCCGGGGCUGCACGCGCGCUACACUGGCAAAAUCAACGUGCUUGUCCUACCCCGAAAGGGGCGGGUAAACCAUUGAAAAUUUGCCGUGAUUGGGAUCGGAAAUUGCAAUUAUUUUCCGUGAACGAGGAAUUCCAAGUAAGUGCGAGUCAUCAGCUCGCGUUGAUUACGUCCCUGCCCUUUGUACACACCGCCCGUCGCUGCCCGGGACUGAGCCAUUUCGAGAAAUUUGGGGACCGUUGAUUUAAUUUUUCUAAAUUACUUUGAUGGAAACCAAUUUAAUCGCAGUGGCUUGAACCGGGCAAAAGUCGUAACAAGGUAGCUGUAGGUGAACCUGCUGCUG